rnacentral:rRNA from 1 species
CUGCCCAAUGAAAUUUAAAUGGCUGCAGAAUAAAUAACUGUACUAAGGUAGCAUAAUAAAUUGUUUUUAAUUAGAAACUUGAAUGAAAGAUUUAAUGAAAUAUAAACUUUAUUAUAAAUUAAUCAUUAAAUUUUUUAUUUAAGUUAAAAAACUUAAAUAAAAUAUAUAGACAAUAAGACCCUAUAAAAUUUAAUUUUAUUUUAAUAAUUUAAAUUUAUUAAAUUUAAAAUUUAAUUGGGGUAAUUAAAAAAUUAAUAAAACUUUUUUAAAUUAAAACAAAAAUUUUUGAAAAAAAUUUCUUUAAUUUUAAAACUAAAAAAAUUAAUUACUUUAGGGAUAACAGCAUAA